AUUGAACGCUGGCGGCAUGCUUUACACAUGCAAGUCGAGCGGCAGCGCGGGGGCAACCCUGGCGGCGAGCGGCGAACGGGUGAGUAAUGCAUCGGAACGUAUCCUCGAGUGGGGGAUAACCCAGCGAAAGUUGGGCUAAUACUGCAUGAGCUCUGAGGAGGAAAGCGGGGGACCUGCGAGGGCCUCGCGCUGGAGGAGCGGCCGAUGUCCGAUUAGCUAGUUGGUGGGGUAAAGGCUUACCAAGGCGACGAUCGGUAGCUGGUCUGAGAGGAUGAUCAGCCACACUGGGACUGAGACACGGCCCAGACUCCUACGGGAGGCAGCAGUGGGGAAUUUUGGACAAUGGGGGCAACCCUGAUCCAGCCAUGCCGCGUGAGUGAAGAAGGCCUUCGGGUUGUAAAGCUCUUUCGGACGGAACGAAAUGGGCGGGACUAAUACUCCUGUCUGAUGACGGUACCGUAAGAAGAAGCACCGGCUAACUACGUG
rnacentral:rRNA from 1 species